ensembl:piRNA 21ur-7844 ncRNA
UGUUUUUGGAUCUUUUUGUUU